rnacentral:lncRNA from 1 species
CGAAAGUGUAGUGCGAAUUAGGAGAUAAGAAGAGUGUUAGUACUUCAAGGUUUAAGGAACAAUUGCGCUCAACAUAUAUCUUAGCUCUUUUGACGACCUCUAAGAGUUGUUUCAAGAAGCUUUAUCUAACAACCAGAGCAUACCAUUGGCUGCUUAGCACUAAGGAAAUAAUAAGCAAUCUGAACAACUCUGAAUCGAUGGAGAUAGAUAUAUUUCUCACAGCAGAACUAUAGCUGCUGCUGGUUCUGGUGCUGGGGCUGAUCCUACUAGAUAGAUAGAGCGAGAGAAAGAUAGAGAGAGAGAGAGAGAGAGACUCACACACACACGUUCACACACACACACACACACACACACACACACAUACACACAUGAAUAUAUAUGAAAAGUAACAAGCAUAAUGAGAAUGACGCCAGACGACCAUUGUAAAAUUCAUUAGAUAGAUAGCAGCCCUAGAAGAGACAGAUUCCACCAUUUAUAUCUACAUUGACCCAUUUACGAGUAAAGUCUUACAAACAUAUAUAUUUUAUAUAUAUAUUUAUAUACAUUUAUAUAUAUAUAUAUAUAUAUACUCAUACACGCACGUACAUAUACAUACAUAUAUAUAUAUAUACGCACACACACAACAACGUUAAAACAUAAUUCCAACAGCUUUUUAAUUUAUCAUUUCUCUAUGAUCUUCAGUGUCUAGACAGUUGUUUUUACUCUGAUAUAUUUGGUAGUUUUAAAGCAUUUAAAUGCAUAACAACAUUUCUCAACUGUCCUAUAAUUUAACGAAUCUGGUUAUUGCUUACUUCAUACAUACAUACAUACAUACAUACAUACAUACAUACAUACAUACAUACAUACAUACAUACAUACAUACAUACAUACGUACAUACAUACAUGUGAAGGCGCGUGGCCUAGCGAUUAUGCUGUUGCACUUGGAAUCGCCUGAUCGUGUGUUCGAUUCCCAGACCGGGCUGAGCAAAGCACUUCAUUUCACGUUGCUCCAGUCCGCUUUUGAUCAAAGGAGAAUGUUGGCCUGCUCGUCUAGUUAACGGGGUGUCGUCAUUCGGUGGAUAAAACGAUGCAAAGCGCAUUGCCACCAGCGAUGUACAACAUCUGAUAGUCUGGUCGGGCACACGGUCAUGUGAUAUAUAUAUAUAAAUAUAUAUAUAACCUUGUAUUUGUGUUAGUCAUUUGGCUGUUGCUAUGCUAGGGCACCACCUUUUAGUCGAACGAAUCAAGCCAGCAAUUUUUUAAAGCCUAGUACUUAUUCUAUCGGGCUCUCCAUCGAACUGCUAAGUAACGGGCACGUACACAAACCAACAAGAGUUGUCAAGUGGUGUUGGGGACAAACACAGACGCACAAAUACACACACAUACACACACACACACACACAUACACACACACACACACACACACACACACACAUAUAUAUAUAUACAUAUAUAUAUAUAUAUAUAUAGACAUACAUAUAUACGACGGGAUUCUUUCAGUUUCCGUCUACCAAAUCCACUCACAAUGCUUUGGUCGGCCCGAGGCUAUAGUAGAAGACACCUGCCCAAGGUGCCACGCAGUGGGACUGAACCCAGAAUCAUGUGGUUCGUGAGCAAGCUAUUUACCACAUAUAUUUAUUUCAAGUUUUGGCACAAUGCCAGCAAUUUCUGGGCAGGGGUAAGUCGAUUACAUCGACUCCAGUACUCAAGUCGUAUUUAUUUUAUUGUACCGAAAUUAUGAAAUGCAAAGUCGACCUCGGUGGAAUUCGAUCUCAGAACGUAAAGUCGGACGAAGUGCCGCUAAGCAUUUUGUCCGAUGUGCUAAUGAUUCUGCGACAUCACUAUUUUCAUUAUAAGUUUACAUAUAUUAAUGGUAGUUCCUCAAAUCCGAGCAAAGGCGGCUCUACAAUUUCCUGGUGAAUAACCUGCACAUUUGGUUUGUUUAUAACGAUCAAAUUUUCUCCAUCAAUUCCACGCUAUACCACACAUUAGAUGUUGAAGUGAUCGCAGACCCCGAAAGGAUGAAAGGCAAAGUCGACCUCGGCGGACUUUGAACUCAGAACGUAACGGCAGACGAAAUACCGCUAAGCAUUUCGCCCGGGGUGCAAACGGUUCUGCCAGCUCGUCGCCUUUAAUGUAAAUAAGUAAUGCUUUUUACUGGAAGCACAAUGUCUCAAAUUUGGGGAAAGGGAUUAAAUCGAUUACAUCGAUUAAAGAUUAAAGAUUAAAUAUUAAAGAUUCGGAUCUCCGAUUUUAAUAAAUUCCCAUAAAAAAAAAAAAAAAUUUAAUUCUCACAUUUGAUCCCUGAGAUUGUAAAACAGAUGGGCUGGUCAUACCUGGGAUGCCUUAUAUUAUACGUCUUAUUGAUCAGAAAUGACCUGAAAGAUCAAACUACAACAAUAAACAUCUUUAUGUUAUUCUUUCUGCCUACAUCACUUCCUUCUCUCCCACUCUGUCUCUCACUCUCUCUCUCCCACUUUCUCUCUCUUUCUCUCUCUCUCUCUCUCUUAAUUGUAUGUUUAUCUUCUUUAGGCAAAACAGUAGAAAUAGCCAGCAGGUGUAGUAGUGAAAAUGAGAGAGAGAGGGAGAAUAAGAGAAUAAAACAGGCAGUCAAAGCUAGAAUGAUACAGUUUUACUUUUAUUUCCAUAAGAUCCUUUAAUUAAAUAAACAGAAACAUAGUCCUUCCCCUACCACACCAGUUCACCGUUCUUUUCAGCUUUCGUGUUUUUUUAUUCUAGGACACUUCUUUUCCUUAUUAUUUAUUUUGCUCCGUCCCACUCUCUCCCUCUCUUCUCCGCCACUACGCGUGUAUGUAUGCAGGUUUUUCUUCUGUCAUUCACACACUCUCUCUCUCUCUCUCUCUCUCUCUCUCUCUCUCUUUAUAUAUAAGUGUAUGUAUAUAUGUGUAUGUGUAUGCGCACGUAAAUAUAAUAUAUAUAAUGCAAAUGUAUAAAUCUGUAUAUAUGUAUCUCUCUCUCUUUCUUUCUGUCUCUUUCCUUCUCUCUCUCUUUCUCUCUCUCUCUCUCUCUCUCUCUAUAUAUAUAUAUAUAUAUAUAUAUAUAUGAAUAUGUAUAUAUACAAUACACAUGCAUAUUAUAUUCGUAUAUUGAAACAAAUAAUGCGUAUGUGCGUCUAUGUGUGUGUGUGUGUGUGUGUGUGUGUGUGUGAGAGAGAGAGAGAGAGAGAGAGAGAGAGAGAGAGAGAGAGAGAGAGAGAGAGAGAGAGAGAGAGAGAGAGAGAGAGAGAGAGAGAGAGAGAGCUGAUGUCUAUUUAUUUAUUUAUCAAGCAGUCUAUGAGUCGCAAUAUUCGCUUCCACAAAUAUUUUUUUAAAAGACGUCUUUGCUAUUUUGUUACAAUUUUUUUUUUUUUCAAAUCAAUUCUGUCACUGCUUCUUUCACUUGAUUUCCCUCUAACCUCACCUUGGUCUUAUGUAAGGGUCAAAACAUCCAUAUAACGUGUAGGUUGAAGGUAAAUAGUUGUAACAAAGUCUUGCUCUUUGUGAUCUGUUGUAAAGGUAGCAUUACUGUAUUCUUUAUUUAUUCCUUGGCCUACCUCAAUAUUUGUAUCAGUAAAAUGUUAUAAAAGUCCCACGAGUUAUUAACCCAUUAACUUCCAUGUGGUGAUUUUAUAUCUAAUAUGGUUUUGUUUUGGUUGUUUUGCUUUUCGGUGUCCUUUCUUUUAAAUUAAAUUUCAGAUUAACAUUAGUAUGAUAGGCGUUAGCUCACACGGUUUGCUGUCCGUUUCACAGACAACACGUACUUGGUUUCUCUCCCCAAUUAAGAGCUAGAAACCUCAGCCCCAAGGUAAAAUCAUACAUAGCUAUACAAUAUAUAGCUAUUUGUUUGUGUGUUUGUAUGUUGAACGCUGAAAACACUAAAUAAAAUUGAUAAUAUUUCAGGGUUUUUUUUUAUGUCAUUUAAAUUAAUUUGCCCAUUUCGCAGAUAACUGUGCACUUAUUUCAGAAAACGAAUUGUGGGCGGAGGGCGAGUUGGUCGUGUAUUUGUUCCUAUUUCUAGCAAUCCACGUACUGUCUAUUUCACCGUAAUGCUUCUUACAGAGUGAAAACAUACUCCAUCUAUCACUCAAUCUAUCUCCAACUUUCUCUAAGUUUAUACAUUACAUUUAUUCCUUUGAAGUCGCCUCCGGACCUCUGCUCACUCUCUUUGUCUAUAUGUCCCUCUCUAUGUCUCUAUAUCUCUCACUAUCUCCCUCUCCCUCUUUCUCUCUCUUUCUCUCACUCACUACCUCUACCUCUUUUUCUCUCUAGAGAAAAAAUAUGUGAGACAGAUACAAAGCGGAUUAGGGAGAAAAAACAAAUGAGACAGAAUGAGGAUGGAGGUAGCUACAUCUAUAAAUCUAUCGACAAAGUUGUCGACGAGGACGAUGUUGUUCAUUAUCCUGUCGAAUUCCUCAAUAGUCUGGUAUGACGCCUUGAAUUGAAGAUGGGAACAGUCAUCCUGCUUCUCAGAAACCUGGAUCAGUCAAGAUUGUGCAACGGUACAAAUAUGGUUGUGACUGAACUAUAGCCUCACAUUAUCGAAACACGAAUCCUCACUGGAGACUUUGUAUUUAUACCUAGACUACCACUAGUACCAACAGAUGUCACCUUUCGUUUCAAACGAUUGCAAAUCUCAGUGAGAGUCAGUUAGGUAUUGACCAUUAACAAGGCCCAAGGUCAAACAGUGCAGGUUGUCGGUCUCCAUUUAGAAGAGGGAUGUUUCUCAUAGGGUUAAUUCUAUGUAGGUUGUUCCGAAGUAGGAAGCCCACAGAAAUCAUUCACAUAUGUUCCAAAGAAAAAGUAUAAAACAUUGUAUGUACUAAAGUUCUCUAAAGGUUUUAUAAUUUUCGUACAAUACAUUUUUUUAUUGCUAUCUAUAUUGCUUUCUGCAUUUAGAUAUUCUGAAUAAAUUUGUAAAAUUAUGUAAUGCAACAUGUAAUUACUUUUAACAAUUUUUAUUGUAAGGAAAAUGGGCACUACGAUAUGAAUUAAUUUCAACACCGUACAGACCGGGUCAAAGGACGGAAGGCCCGCUAGUAUAUAUAUAUAUAUAUAUAUAUAUAUAUAUAUAUAUAUAUAUAUAUAUAUAUAUAUAUAUAUAUAUAUAUAUAUAUAUAUAUAUAUAUAUUUCUAUUUUCUAUUUUCCCUCCCUGUUUAUUUCUGUGUUCCUUUAUGUCGAAGAGCGUAGGUUCGAAACGUAAAAGACUUUCUCACUCCCCGAGCGUUAAACUAAUACAUCUGUUUGUUGUUUACACACUUGUCUCCGUGUUUUGUCUUUUUGUAAAUUCUCGCUAUAUAUAUAUAUAUAUAUAUAUAUAUAUAUAUAUAUAUAUAUAUAUAUAUAUAUAUAUAUAUAUAUAUAUAUAUAUAUAUAUAUAUAUAUAUAUAUAUAUAUAUAUUCAUAUAUAUAUAUAUUUAUUAUAUAUAUAUAUAUAUAUAUAUAUAUAUAUAUAUAUAUAUAUAUAUAUAUAUACAUAUAGCGGGGUGUAUGCAUGUAUGCAUGUAUAUUGCAUACGUAACAAUGUAAACCCAUCCAAGUAACAUACUUAAUGUAAAAAUACCCGGAAAAAACAAAUAAACUGCCGUAUUCGUCCUCAGAUAAUAUCUCUUAUCGACUUGCAAUGUUUACAAGCAUAAACAUAUCAGUAACAGAAGAAAUGUGUCUAGUGGCGGCGGUGAGAAUGCUAGUUGCAUGUUUUUGUCUCUUUGGUGUUAGUCAGUAACAUGUGCUCACUGUCAAUCAUAUGCUAAGACAAAAUCGUCUGCUACCGAAAUAGGAAAAAAAUCACUGAUCGUUGAUCUGAUUAGUUGCCCGGCUGAACAGCAAUCCGUUAUAUGCAACAGAAGCAGUAUUAGGUUAAAAUAGCCAUCUGUGUAUUAUACUUAAUGCAAAUUACAUAUAAUUUAAUCAGAAUUUCGAACUCAUGACUGUGUUCAUGUACUUAUAGCAAUACUAGCCAUACUUUUCAAUAGUGUAGCUAAUAAUAAUACAUAUUAAUAGGGCGGCGAGAUGGGUGAAUCAUUAGCACGCCGGACAAAAUGUUUAGCGGUAUUUCGUCCUUUUUUUAGGCUCUGAAUUCAAAUACCAUGAGGCUGACUUUGUUUUUCAUACUCUUGGAGUCUAUGAAAUAUGUACCAGUCGGGAUCUUUUCUGUUGUUGCUACAGUUUUAUAUUUCUUUAAAUUUUGUUCCAAUUGGUUUUAAAUCUGGUGUACUGAUCUAGUUUUGAAUGCUAAUUAUGAAAAAAGUUAAUAGAGUUUAAAGUUUGCAAAUGUUUAGUAAUUUUAACCAAUUAAAGGCUACAGACACAUCGAUGCCUGUUUCCGUAGUUACAAGCAAAGCUGUAAUCUGCUUAAACCAUAUCAAUGUGUAUUUUCUAUACCUGUGUAUUUUCUUUGAAAAGUGCCUAUUUUCUGACCCUCUGUACUUCACUCCUGUCAUUCUCACCUGUCUUUUUUCUUUUUUUUUUUUCUUCCUUCUGAGAAACGGAUAUUUUUGGUUGCCGUCCUGUCACUACAUCAUUUUCAUAAUUGUGAACCUUGUUUCCCCUGAAAAUUUUCUGUGAUAACGAGUCGUAAGUUUUCAUUUUGUUCAUUAAAAAUUCGUCAUCAAAAUGUUUUGCUGCCAUUUUAUGAUAGACAGCCAUCGCACAAAAAAAUUCCAGCUUCCAAAUCUUGCUUUCUGACUGGGUAAAAUUUAUCAAACUUUAAACCCCUGUAAAUUUUUUCUAAAAUUUUUCGGGAACCAAUAAAUAGCAAAAUCGGAUUCAGCAUUAAAAAAUAAUAAUUACCAAUAUGCCAAAUUUGAAAAUUUUCACUUAAUUAUAAAAUUUCGAAAUCUGCGACAGCGACAGAAAGGACUCACCAGUCGCAUACUGGUGUCAGUGCAAUCGACUUACCCUCUAGCUCCGAAAUUGCUGGCCUUGUCCCAAAAUUUGAAGCCAAUAUCAGAUAUUAUUAUGGAGGCGAGCUGGCCGCAUUGUUACCGCGUCGGGAGAGUGCUUUACGUUCUGAGCUCAAAUGCCACCGGGGGCGAUUUUGCCUUUCAUCCUUUCGAGUGUCGAUAGAAUAAAGUACAAGUUGAACAGCCUUGUAUCAAAAUUUGAAACUAAAGUUAGUAAGUAUUAAUCAAUAAAACGAUAAGAAAUACACCUGUCUGAGAAUCAGUCAGAAAAUCAUAUUAUCGGCGAAUAUAGAUAUAUACAAACGUAGAUACUCUAAGAGAGAGAGAGAGAGAGAGAGAAAGAGAGGGGUAUAAACACGUUUACACAGACGCAGUAGCAAAUAUAAAUACGUAUGUGUGUGUGUAUAUAUAUAUAUAUAUACAUACAUACAUACAGGGAGACAGACAGGCAGACAGACAGACAGACAGACAGACAGACAGACAGACACAUAGGCAGGCAGGCAGGCAGACAGAGAGACUGACAAACAGAUAGAUAGAUAGAUAGAUAGAUAGAUAGAUAGAUAGAUAGAUAGAUAGAUAGAUAGAUAGAUAGAUAGAUAAGUUUCUUUAUUGGCCACACAGGGCUGCACACAGAUGGGACAAGUUGCAAGGUAGAGCUUUUCUUUUGGGGGAUGAAAAAGACAAAAAACAAAAGAAACAAAAAAAAGGUCGCGUAGGUUUUCGAUCAAAAAGGAUCGUAAAAGGGAAAAAGAAGAACAAAAAAAAAUAAUAAAAAAAAUAAAAAAUAAAAUAAAAUAAAUAAAAAAAAGAAGAAAAGGAAAAGGAACAGACAGAAAAUAUACAAAGAAAAACCAAGCGUAAGUAUACAUCCAUAGACUCUCUGCCUGUCCUAAAUAUAUUAUUAAUAGAUUGAUUUAAAAUAUUUCAAACCAGAUUUUAAGACUUUCAGCAAAUGUUAAAAUUUGUUAGGAAAAUGCAUUAAAAAAGAAUGGGUUUAAAGAAAAUAUUUAAUAUAUUCUCAUUAGUAUUAUUAUAAAAUACAACUACUAAUUGUUAAAUUAUCCACUGAAUAAUAUAAGGGUAUAUUUGACGGAAACUCAAUCAAACAGAGGGGUUUUAAAAUUAAGAAAAAAUUGCAAUGAUAAGAGUAUAGUAAUAAAUUGAAUAAAUAUAGAUACUAACAAAAGUGGAUCAAUGAAUUAAAAUGUAAUAUUUAAAAAUAGGGUAUGUAUAGCAGACACACCUGGAAAUAGUUUUAGCAUUGACUUUGAAGCCACGAGUAGAGCGUCUUCCUUUAAUAAUUGGGAGAAUUAUAGCAACAAAUUAAAAAAGAAUACCAUCAUUAGUAAUAUAGAACAUAAAUGAAAAAACUACUUCUGAAUAUCCUAGCAAGGUUGAAAACAGUAAGAUAAUAUAAAUAGUAUUAUACCUUCAGUGCUGAUAUCAGAAUGGAGUUCGGACUGAGAAAGUGUGGUGUGUUAGUCUUGAAGAGAGGCAAAAUCAAAUGUAUGGUCGGGCUAACGAUAUCGUCGGGGGAGGUUAUGAAGCAGAUAGAAGAGACGGGCUAUAAGUACUUGGGGAUUUUGGAAAUGGAUAAAUUGAUGGAGAAAGAAAUUACAGUAAAAUUUAAGGCAGAUUACUUGCACAGACUGAGACUGAUCCUUAAGUCGAAAUUAAACGGACGGAAUAGCAUUGAAGCUAGCAUCACCUGGGCGGUUUCACUCCUUAGAUAUGGAACAGGGAUAAAUGCAUGGAAAGUAUAUGAACUAAACAGCAUAGACAAAAAGACAAGGAAGUUACCCAGUUACCCAGAAAGUAACACAAAUUGUAUGUAACAAGAAAAAGAGGAGGAGAAGACUUACUGGGUGUGAACAACAUAGCAUGGUAUGUAAAAACUGCCACAUAACCGCUAUUAUUAGAAGUAAAAUGGUCAGGCGUGUGUAGUAUGAAAGAUUGCAAAGAUAAAGAACUGUACAAGCAAUUGAAAACGAUUGAAACUGCUAACAAAGGUGGGUAAAGAAAUGAAUGCAUGGUCAAUUUCAUAUGGAUGUUGAAGAUAAUUCAGACAGAGAAAAAUAUGGCUGUGGAUGACUAUAAGUGAUCUAAAACCGGAAACGGAGGUUCUAAUCUGUGCUGCCCAAGAACAAGCACUAACAACAAAUUACAUAAAAUACAGAAUAGACAACACAUCAGAAAGUGAUAAGUGCAGAAUCUGUGGACAAAACGGUGAAACCUUAUGGUAUAUUACCAGCCAAUGUACGCCACUAGCCCAGAAGGUUUAUAAGAGACGCCACGACAAUAUAGUCAGGCUUGUCCAUUGGAUACUUUGUAACAAGUAUGGACUUGACAGAGCCCAAAAUUGGUACGACCACAAACCCGAAGGCAUCAUCGAAAAUAUAAAUGCAAAGAUUCUAUGGGAUUUAUGAUUCUGUGCGACCAUGAGAUAGAGAAUAGGAAGCCAGACAUAGUCUUAAUUGAGAAAGAAAACAAACUAGGCUGAAUAAUAGAUAUAGCAUGCCUAGAAGACAACAGGGUAUGCGAAGAGGAAGAAAGAAAAGUCGAGAGAUAUGACAGGUUAUCUUGGGAGGUUAAGCAGUUGUGGUCGAUGAAAAAGAUAGUAGUAGUACCAAUAAUUGUCGGAGCUCUGGGAACAGUGAGCAAAAAUUUCGAGAUGUACAUGAAACAAAUAGGGGCUGCAGUAAGGGUGGAGCACUUGCAGGAAACAGCACUGCUUGAACCGCUCGAAUACUCCGGAAGGUGCUCGGAAAAUAAGAGGUGUUACCUUAGUUCACAGGUAGUGAACAGCUGAUACCGUAGUACAUCUCCAGCGUUAGAAGCUGUGCAAAGUCAAGAAGAAGAAGAAGAAGAAGAAGAAGAAGAAGAAGAAGAAGAAGAAGAAGAAGAAGAAGAAGAAGAAGAAGAAUGAUGAGGAUAAUAAUAGUAAUACGAAUAAUAAUAAUACUAAUAAUAAUAAUAAUAAUAAUAAUAAUAAUAAUAAUAAUAAUAAUAAUAAUAAUAAUAAUAAUAAUAAGUUCUACAAUAGGCACAAGGCCUGAAAUUUCUUGAUUAAGAAUAGUAAAUUUCUGUGAAAAUUUUUUUGUUAGAAAUAAUAGAUUUGUACUCUACAAAAGUAUAGAGUGACUCAGUAGAUUAAUGCAGAAUUGUUUUUAUUAUAAAUGAACCUUAAGGUAGCGAGCUGCCAGAGUAUUAACUAUACUAAACAGUAAAGCCAGUCGUCACAUCAAAAUGGCUGUUGAAUGUUACUACUAGUUUAACCCCAGGCAGAUUCUCCACCAGCUGGUUAGCAGUGCGAAUACAUAUAUGUAUUCACACACAUACACACACACAUACACACACAUAAAUAUACACACACACUCACACACACACACGCAUACACAUAUACACGCACACAAAGAAAACAAGAAAACAUACAGAUACAUAGACAUACAUUUAAGAGAUUAGCUUUUUGUUACCUGUUCUAAAGAAAAAAAACGUUUUAAAAUAAAACUUUGAAUAGUAACAAGGUAAAUCAAUUUCUAAGGAACUAAUAAAUAAACUUCACUGUACGUAUUGAGUUUUAUUUCUACAAUUUUUACAACCAAACAUAUAUUAGCUUAUAUUUUCUUUACAUAAACUUUCAAAAUUUUGUGGCUAUAUAUUAGAUACUGUUUCUUCUCGUUUAGAUGAAGUUGGGUGGAGAAUAAUCAACACAAAAGUACGCAAAUAAGCAAUAAAAAAAUUGGUUAAGUCUCUCCUUGCCUUGAUUGACUGUGUAUUUGUAGAAGAGACCAGUUGGUUGACUAGUCUUUGUUUAUCGAGCGUCUGUCUAUUAUUAUUGGGCCUCCUUGUCUGCCCUGUUGUCAUCAUUGUUUGUAUUUUCAAUAGUGUUGGGCUGGUCUAAGGCGACUGUGGCUCCAUGAAUAUUUCAGAUUUUUCAUGCUUUAGUCAAGCUGUCGCUAGCAUUUUGCCCAUUAUUUCACACUGCAACACUUCACAGAUACUUGUUGAAUUUCUUUUAUAUUUUAGAAACAAAAAAUGCAUUUUCGUCUUUUAACAUCAAUUUACCCUGACAAAUUGUACCAUAGAGAAGAAGAAAGUUUUUUCUUUUUUCCUUUCCAGCUAACUCGGCAAGAAUGUCUAGCCAACACUUUAACUGUAAAGCAAAGUAAUAGGAGCACCGUCUUUGUUUAUAUUCAACUCUUCAAAUAUGUGUGUGUAUGUGUGCGUGUGUACAUACAUACAUACAUACAUACAUACAUACAUACAUACAUACAUACAUACAUACAUACAUACAUACAUACAUACAUACAUACAUACCACAUGCUUAUUCCCAAUUGAUCUCUAAAAGUAGUUAACUUUUAUUGAACAGAAGGAGUAAAAUCUCUCAAAUAACCCUCAAUACCUUAUUGGUUUCAAGUUUUGGCACAAAGCCAGCAAUUUCAGGAAAGCGGAUAAGUCGAUUACAUCAACCUCAGUAUUCAACUGGUACUUAUUUUAUCGAUCCCGAAAGGAUGAAAGGCAAAGUCGAUUUUGGUGCAAUUUGAAACUGACUAUAUAAUAUUCUAUCCAGUAUUAUUUCUAAUUUUUUGUAUCCUCAAUUAUUUUCUAACUACCAUGCUGAAAAUAUUUUUUACUUCGACAAUUUCAACAAUAUUGAUUUCAGCAUAGUUUAGCAGCAAGGUAAAAAGGUGUAAGAAUUACAUAGGUUGGAUGUCAAUUCCGGACUGAAGCGAUAUAGUUUCACCAAAUUUUUAUUUAUUUUUUUUUUAUCUUUUGAUUAAUGCAUGAAAACUUUGCCGGUCAUUUAUCUGAAUGAAGAAUAGAAUGUUUACAGAGAAUACUAUUUGUUAAUGAUAAAGGGCAGAAAGAUGACCGAAAUCUUGAUAGACAAAUACUCUUUUACGACAUCAUAUUAAUUCGUGGUUUAAGUCUUUCCAUUGAAACUACGAUUCAGAAACUGAGAAGCUAACAUAUAGUUUAGGUUUUGUCAGGUGUUCGUAAGAUAUUUUUCUGGAUCCAAGAUAAUUUUUCUCCUAUCAGUCACAGAAAAUUGUAACGCAAUUUUUUGUCACCAAUAUCGUACAGUUAAGUUGCCAAUGUUUUUUUUUUUGCAAGCCUUUUUUAAAAUAACGAUAAUAAUAAACUACCUAUGUCACUUCACAUCCCACUAGGUAGCGAUAGCAUCACUCCGACCACGUUUGUUCAUGUUCUGCAGGAAUACAAAAACAAUCAUCAUGGUCGAACUCAGAAUGCCCUUGAAGGACAGGCUCGAUACUUACAACCAGCUAAAGAAAACCGAGUGGAGGCGCGUGGCUAAGUGUUUAGGGUGUCAGCAUUAUGAUCGUAAGAUUGUGGUUUUGACUCCUGGACCGGGCGACGAGUUGUGUUCUUGAGCAAAACACUUCAUUUCACGUCGUUCCAGUCCACUUAGCUGGCAAAAAUGAGUAACGCUGCGUUGGACUGGCGUCCCGUCCAGCUGGGGAACGCAUACGCUAUAGAAACCGGGAAACUAGGCCCAUGAGCCUGGUUAGGCUUUAAAAGGGCGCAUUUAUAUUUAUUAAAGAAAACCGAAUAUCAGGACUUGAUCGAUGAAGCCCUUAUCAAGAAAUAGUAUAGAUCCUCAUUUCUUCUUGAUAUCGGCUACCACAGGUUUCCAGUUAAAUCAGUGUGCUAUUUCCUAGAGAGGAUUAGUCUCGCACUCAAACAACUUAAGAAAACUUCCAACAAGAUAAGCAAGACGGUUGAAACCAACUCAAGUUGACUAUAGCUGACAGGAGACCACAGGUGGUACCCUUCGGCGAAAAGUACAGGCUAAAGGAUGAAACUCUUGUGACACUGAAGUGCUUUCUGACGAUACUGAAGAGUUUCUAACACUGUAUGAACUUAGAAGAGCUUACAAAAUUUCUGAUUGCUCCUGGAGUUUCUACGUGGGACAAAACAUCGCCAUAUGUGUGUGUGUGUGAGUGUGUGUGUGUGUGUGAAGGUGCGUGACUUAGUGAUUAAUGUAUUUGGCUUACGAUUGUAAAGUAAUGAGUUCAAUUCUCGGUGACGAGUUGUGUCCUUGAGCAAGACACUUUAUUUAAAGUUGCUCCAGUCCACUCAGUUGGCAAAAAUGAGUAAUACCUGUUUCCCAAAGGGUCAGGCUUGUCACACUCUGUCUCAUGCUGAGCUCCCUGAGAACUACGUUAAGGGCACACGUGUUUGUGGAGUGCUCAACCACCUGCGCAUUAAUUUCACGAGCAGACUUCCGUUGAUCAGAUCAACUGGAACCCUCGUCGUCGUGUCGUAACCGACGAAGUGCCAGUUCAAUACACACACACACAAAGAUAAUUUCUCUCCUAUCAGUCACAGAGACACCCGACCAUGGAAGUCGCAACACAAUUUUUUGUCAGCAAUAUCUUACAGCUAAUAAGUUACCUCGAUAUUUUUUACAGGCCUUUCUAAAUAUAAAGAGAUCAUAUGAGAUUUGAAAUUUUCAUCCAACGAGCAUUGCGAUACAAAGAUAGGCAGGUCCGUUCGCGCCAACCAGGAGAAAUAUCUAUUCAGAAGUAAAACAGCAACGUAUUCAAACGUAUUCAAACCAAGAACACAAUAGAAUAGUUGUAUAUGCAUGCCACUGUUUCAGAGGAAUAUAUACGUGAAUUUAUUUUUUAAUCUUUUUCCCUCGCUCUGAUGAAGAACAAAAACGACCAAAGCGUCAAACCUAAUCUUUAUCGUGUUAUUCCUUUGUCUGUGUUGGUAUUAUAAGCUGGAAAGGCGGCGAGCUGGCAGAAACGUUAGCACGCCGGGCGAAAUGCUUAGCGGUAUUUCGUCUGCCGUUACGUUCGGAGUUCAAACUCCAUCGAGGUCGACUUUGCCUUUCAUCCUUUCGGGGUCGAUUAGAUAAGUAGCAGUUACGCACUGGGGUCGAUGUAAUCGACUUAAUCCGUUUGUCUGUCCUUGUUUGUCCCCUCUGUGUUUAGCCCCUUGUGGGUAGUAAAGAAAUAGGUGUUAUAAGCAGGAAGGUGUGUGUGUGUGUGUGUGUGUGUGUGUGCACGUGGAAACAUUACUUUGAAAAUGAUAAUUCCCUUCGCGGCUACCCCAAGUCUCUCAGUCUUGUAUAUUUGUUUUCUUUGUUGCCAAAACAAACGCAUAAAAGCAAUAAAUUCAGGAUGGCAACAGUGUGAGCCAUAAGCUUCGAACAAAUAAAUAACCUCUACGGUAAGUAUUGAGUACUUAUUCUGUUGUUUGUACACCGGUAUUUACAUGUGUAUGCGUGAGUGUGUGUAUGUUGGUCAUUCAAUUCCCCAGGUAAUAUGAGAACAGAUUAUCUCUAGUUUUUUUUUCUAUUCUUUUACGUUUAAAGGUACGUAGAAUAUUAAAAAGAAUAGAGUUACAAUUUCUAAUUUAUUUAUUCGUGUAAAGCAUUCAUUUUUUUUUAUCUAUUUAUUCACCUCUUUCUACUGUAACAACCAAGGCUUUCAGACAAUACUAUCAAUACAGAAAUUCCAAAGUAUCGAAAGUUACGAGCUGAGAAAGGGAAAGAUAUGUUCGUGAAUUUAACUACAACAAAAGAAUAUACCUCAGAAAAAGAAUGAAUGGGCAACAUAAAGGUAAAGCAUUGUUGACAGAAACGAGUCAUAUAUUAUAUCCACUUAAUGAGAAAUUCACUGUAAAGAAAAAGGCCUUGUAGAGUUAUUGCUUGCAAAACUGCUGGGAAACCGCAAUUAUUUGAUAAAUUUCGAGAAGCUGGUUUCUUUGUAUUAAAGCUUGGUGUUGACAUUGUUAUUUAUUGUUCUAUACUUUAAUAGAGCGUGAGUAAAACGGACAAAGUAGUGUUUGAGGCUCUUGAAUUAUGAGUUCAAAUCUGUUUUCCGGUGUUUCAUUGUAUCAGAUUAGAAUACUUCCUUUUAUAUAAAUAUAUAUAUUUUUAAUUGCCAUACAUAUCAAGAUCAUGAUUAUGUGCCGCAGCUUUAACGUUUUUCUUUAAUAACAUUUCUUCUAUAUCGAAAAAACAUAUGCAUAAAAAUGUAUUAAACCUUAUAUCCUCAAGAUAAACAUACAAAAAAAAAUUAUACAUAUAUAUAUAUAUAUAUAUAUAUAUAUAUAUAUAUAUUGUCACAAUGAGGAUAUUUAAACCUCUUAUUGGGAUAUUUUAUCCAAUAAACACUGGUUUAAUAUAUUUUAAAGAGAUAUUUCUUCAAUAAAUAUAUUAUAUAAAACAUCGUAAAAUAUCAUACAUUAUUAUCGAGUUAGAAAACAGAGAGAUCUAAUGGAUACAAAUUAAUUUAUGAAUUAAUUAUCAUAUUCACCUACAAUUGUUUCAUGUCACAAACAAAAUUAAAAUUAUAAAGCAUAUAUAAAUAUAUAAUUUUACAUUUUAAAUACCUUGUAUGGAAAAUCAUCAGGGUGUACAAAGGACAAUAAAGAUUACAUUAGGAUACGUUUGGAAUACUUAGAAUAAAUAGACAUGUUUAUUAUUACAAUAUUAUUAUUAUUGAGUGAGUGAGAGAGCAGUGCAUGCCAUCAAAGUGACACUGGGAUAAAAUAUACGAAACCCAGUAUACCCAUCAUGACUACCCGUCUGAUAAGGGAACACUAGGCACAUGCAUAACAACCAUAUAUGCGCGACAUGGUGAUCUCAUAUCAAGAUAAACAGCACAUGACCUUGCAGGUGGAGCCCAGUUAGAAUUUUCUUCUGGUCGAGUAACCCAUCCUGCUCAAAAGGUCCCUCAAUAAGAGUUGUUUAAAGAUGUUGAACGAACCACCCAUGUUUCCACAUGUGAAUUAUUCAAACUCCAAUGAAUCCCUCUCAACACAUGGCUAUGGUACUUCCCCACUACUUCUGCUCGUGAUCAGAAGUGCACAUAUCGUUAGCCACUAAGGGACAUGCUCAACUGGUAUAGGGUCAAACAACUGACAAACAAGUCUGUGGUACUGAGCAGAAUAUUUGCUGUAGCCCAUCUUUUAUACAAAGACAAAACAAUGUACGUGAUAACACUUCCAAUCAGUUAAGAUCAGAAGCCAUGAGAGCCACUGUCUGGUACUGCAUCAGGGUAUUAUUAUUAUUAUUAUUACUAUAUUAAACAUGUCUAUAUAUUCUGAGUAUUACAAACGUAUCCUAAUGUAAUCUUUAUUGUCCUUUUUACACCCUGAGGAUUUUCCAUGCAAGGUAUUUAAAAUGCUGAAUUAUAUAUUUGUAUAUGUUUUGUAAUUUUAAUUUUGUUUUUGAAAUGAAACAAUUGUAGGUGAAUAAGUUAAGUAAUUAAUAAUUCAUUUCUAUCCAUUAGCUCUCUGUUUUCUAACUCGAUCAUGUGUGUGUGUGUAUGUGUACGUGUGUGUAAUGUGAAGUACUCUGACCAAGUGACAAUCCCUAAAAAAUACGAUAACCUAUAUCUUAUAAUACUUUCAUCACUCAAAAUUAACUGAGAGACAUUCGCAAUUUUGAAUUAAUAUAUUUUCAUAAACUUUUGCACAGAAUUGUGAAAUCUGUUUUAAAUUGGCAAAAGAAACUAUUAGAGAACCAUUCGGCAAAAGCGGAUUUCAGUCUCUUUGGAAGCAAUAAAAAGUUAUUUCAUGACAUAAAUGACGAUUUCUUGCAUUUUCUGGUUUGUGGUUACUUUGUUUCUCUUACAUUUUUUGUUACCACUAUUUAAGACGAUAUGGACCUUAAUCUUUCCCCAUGGCUGGUUAAUUUCACCGUUGACCCCGCUUCUUUUUUUUCAACAAUAGAUGGAUGGUAACUUCUCUCCGCCUAUUAAAGUAUUUCUUUCUCACAAAACAUAUCUGACAGCAGAUUAUUCUGAAACUUAGGUCUCGCCUGUUCCUUAUCGCUUCCCCACAAGUCCGUAAAAUAUAAAAUUAAAACCUUUUCAGAUAAUAUAAGCGACACACAGAUGAUUUACGAUUAUUACAUAGAGACGUAAAUUGCUAAAUAUAUUCGUCUGUUGAACAGAUUCCUGUUAAGAUUACAAAAAUUGCCCAUAGAGUCUUUCUAUGUGAGUGUGUGUAUGUGUGUUUGUAUGACUGUGCGUGCGUGUGUGUGAGUGUGAAUUCAUUGAGAUAUUUUUCAUUCAUCUUUUCGUCAAGUAAGAAAAAUGGAAACCGUAACUCUUUACAUCUACCCCAAUAUCAGUUCUUUAGUUCGUGUGUAUAUUAUUCGUUUAUGUAGGUAAAGACAUAAUAAAUGAUAGCAAAACAAAAUACAUCCAAGACAUGCAGUAAAAGGCAAAUCGUUGUUUUCAGUAGAAUGGUAGUAGAUGGUAGAAGUGGUUGUGUGACUUUUAAGAUACAUUAUAAGUUUCAAGCAAACGGGUGUUUUCAUCCUUCCAAGAUUUAUAAAAUAUACAUCAAGUACAGAUAUUUAUUUCUUUAUUGCCCACAAGGGGCUAAACAUAGAGGGGACAAACAAGGACAGACAAACGGAUUAAGUCGAUUAUAUCGACCCCAGUGACAAACUGGUACUUAUCUAAUCGACCCCGAAAGGAUGAAAGGCAAAGUUGACCUCGGCAGAAUUUGAACUUAGAACGUAACGGCAGACGAAAUACCGCGAAGCAUUUCGCCCGGCGUGCUACCGUUUCUGCCAGCUCACCGCCUUUCAUCAAGUACAGAUAUUGUUAAUCGAUUGUUCUUUAAUACAUGUCUGCAAAGCAUUUCAUCCUAAAUAUCUUCUAUCGGUGUUAGAAUUAUUAUUCUCAGCUGUAACCGCCCCAUAUGUUUUUAGCAGUAUGUAGGACAAUUAUGACCGAGUGGGAGAAGUCUUUAGGGAUUCAUAACCGAAUGUGAUACUUCCCUUAUAAAAGACAGUGUGGCGUGCUAUGAGGGUGAUGUAGCUGUUAUGAGGAGGAUCCUUUGUUAAAUUGGCUGGUACUUAAUUUAUCUAGACCAGGGUGGUGUUAUGGCUGCCACAAUCAUCGCCAGUGGUAUAACUUGAGGAUAAUAACGAAUGCUAUUAAACAUUGUCAGUAAGUGUUAUGUCAGUAAAUGCUGUUCAUAUUUCGGCAAGGAAUUAUACCGGAAAAAUACGAGUGAAAGGUAUUAUGUUAGUAAAUACAGUUAUAUGGUUCGUUUCUCGUCCAUAGCAUACAUCCGCUUAUGUUGGUAAUCGAUUUCAAAACAUGCAUCUUAAAUCAGAAAAUGACGUGAUACGAAAACACAUUUCAUUAUCUUGUAUUUAUUUUAAUAAAUAAAUGGUUUGUAUAUUUUUCACAUGCAUCUUAUAUGAUUUUUCCACUUGAGUAUUGUUUUUAGAAAUUCUACAGAGAUACGCUUUCGCGGGUUUGCUUUACGAUUAGGCAAAAAAAAAACUCCCAGAAAAUUCGAGCGUUUUUGAGAAGUCUUCCCCACUCACACGCACGCACAAACACACAAACACACACACACACACACACACACACACAGUCACACACACACACACACAGACACACAACUUUGCGACCUUUAAUUUUCGUAACUUGAAUAAUUUCUUCUUUUGUUGUUUUUUCAGAUUUCUACGUUUGAGCCAUCAACAUUAAGC